rnacentral:lncRNA from 10 species
GCGGAAGCAGCAUCCUGAGGAAGUCAGUCUGUUUGAGGAUUUUCUCAUGCUUUGUCCUUUCCAAGCCUUAAACGUCAUUGUGUAUUCGUGCAGCAGAAACACACCAGAUAGAAAAAGCUGGGAGCAAAACGACCUAACAAGGGGCAGAAACAUCAAGGGGCAUGACAAUGCCACAAGACCUGAGACAGAAUUUCCAGAGUGACUUUACAUUCUGAAGAUCCACCCAGGCUCAGGGGACUCCUCAGCUCUACUUAUGGAAGUGAAAACUCACCCUUGGAGCUGCCCAGGAAGCAAAUGCAGUGGCUUUUUCCCCCUGGAAAAUCGACCCAUGUUGAAGUUUGCCAUACAAUGAGUAUAGCAGCAUGCUGCCAUUCAUUUAAUUAAAAAUAGCAAAAAUGCACCGGGCUCUCAAUCAUCUAUGUUCCCAACAAGAAACUGCGCUGAGACAAUCUUCAAAAUGGCACAUCCCUCACCGCCGAGAUUAUCUCUAUUCCUGAACAUGAAUGGCAAAGAAAAGAAGCCAAGGCCAGAAGGAAAAGGGAAACCCUUCAGACCACACAGGUGUGUUUCUGUUUCGUCCUCUUUCACAGGGAAGUUCGUACAAAAACAAACAGCACAUAAAAAUACAACCUCAAGACUUGUAUGUUUGUUCCAGCUCUGUCCCGAUUUGCAUUCCUGUUUUGAUUCGUCUUUGCAACAUCCUGGGCCUAUGAUAGUGAUUUUUCUUUUCUUCCUAGCAGAUUUUCUACUCUUUUGAAGUUAGGAAAUGUCCAUGGUUUCUUUCAAGCAUCUUUGGGUGAGAUUUUUUUUCUUUUUUCUUUUUUUUUAAGAGUCAGAGCAGGAAAAGGCCAUUCAGCUUAUCUUGUCCACUUCCUGAAAUCCAAACAAACUCUCAGAAAACUGCCUCACACCCUAUCCAUUUAGC